GGGUUGUGAGGUUAAGCGACUAAGCGUACACGGUGGAUGCCCUGGCAGUCAGAGGCGAUGAAGGACGUGCUAAUCUGCGAUAAGCGUCGGUAAGGUGAUAUGAACCGUUAUAACCGGCGAUUUCCGAAUGGGGAAACCCAGUGUGAUUCGUCACACUAUCAUUAACUGAAUCCAUAGGUUAAUGAGGCGAACCGGGGGAACUGAAACAUCUAAGUACCCCGAGGAAAAGAAAUCAACCGAGAUUCCCCCAGUAGCGGCGAGCGAACGGGGAGCAGCCCAGAGCCUGAAUCAGUGUGUGUGUUAGUGGAAGCGUCUGGAAAGGCGUGCGAUACAGGGUGACAGCCCCGUACACAAAAAUGCACAUACUGUGAGCUCGAUGAGUAGGGCGGGACACGUGGUAUCCUGUCUGAAUAUGGGGGGACCAUCCUCCAAGGCUAAAUACUCCUGACUGACCGAUAGUGAACCAGUACCGUGAGGGAAAGGCGAAAAGAACCCCGGCGAGGGGAGUGAAAAAGAACCUGAAACCGUGUACGUACAAGCAGUGGGAGCACGCUUAGGCGUGUGACUGCGUACCUUUUGUAUAAUGGGUCAGCGACUUAUAUUCUGUAGCAAGGUUAACCGAAUAGGGGAGCCGAAGGGAAACCGAGUCUUAACUGGGCGUUAAGUUGCAGGGUAUAGACCCGAAACCCGGUGAUCUAGCCAUGGGCAGGUUGAAGGUUGGGUAACACUAACUGGAGGACCGAACCGACUAAUGUUGAAAAAUUAGCGGAUGACUUGUGGCUGGGGGUGAAAGGCCAAUCAAACCGGGAGAUAGCUGGUUCUCCCCGAAAGCUAUUUAGGUAGCGCCUCGUGAAUUCAUCUCCGGGGGUAGAGCACUGUUUCGGCAAGGGGGUCAUCCCGACUUACCAACCCGAUGCAAACUGCGAAUACCGGAGAAUGUUAUCACGGGAGACACACGGCGGGUGCUAACGUCCGUCGUGAAGAGGGAAACAACCCAGACCGCCAGCUAAGGUCCCAAAGUCAUGGUUAAGUGGGAAACGAUGUGGGAAGGCCCAGACAGCCAGGAUGUUGGCUUAGAAGCAGCCAUCAUUUAAAGAAAGCGUAAUAGCUCACUGGUCGAGUCGGCCUGCGCGGAAGAUGUAACGGGGCUAAACCAUGCACCGAAGCUGCGGCAGCGACGCUUAUGCGUUGUUGGGUAGGGGAGCGUUCUGUAAGCCUGCGAAGGUGUGCUGUGAGGCAUGCUGGAGGUAUCAGAAGUGCGAAUGCUGACAUAAGUAACGAUAAAGCGGGUGAAAAGCCCGCUCGCCGGAAGACCAAGGGUUCCUGUCCAACGUUAAUCGGGGCAGGGUGAGUCGACCCCUAAGGCGAGGCCGAAAGGCGUAGUCGAAGGGAAACAGGUUAAUAUUCCUGUACUUGGUGUUACUGCGAAGGGGGGACGGAGAAGGCUAUGUUGGCCGGGCGACGGUUGUCCCGGUUUAAGCGUGUAGGCUGGUUUUCCAGGCAAAUCCGGAAAAUCAAGGCUGAGGCGUGAUGACGAGGCACUACGGUGCUGAAGCAACAAAUGCCCUGCUUCCAGGAAAAGCCUCUAAGCAUCAGGUAACAUCAAAUCGUACCCCAAACCGACACAGGUGGUCAGGUAGAGAAUACCAAGGCGCUUGAGAGAACUCGGGUGAAGGAACUAGGCAAAAUGGUGCCGUAACUUCGGGAGAAGGCACGCUGAUAUGUAGGUGAAGUCCCUCGCGGAUGGAGCUGAAAUCAGUCGAAGAUACCAGCUGGCUGCAACUGUUUAUUAAAAACACAGCACUGUGCAAACACGAAAGUGGACGUAUACGGUGUGACGCCUGCCCGGUGCCGGAAGGUUAAUUGAUGGGGUCAGCGCAAGCGAAGCUCUUGAUCGAAGCCCCGGUAAACGGCGGCCGUAACUAUAACGGUCCUAAGGUAGCGAAAUUCCUUGUCGGGUAAGUUCCGACCUGCACGAAUGGCGUAAUGAUGGCCAGGCUGUCUCCACCCGAGACUCAGUGAAAUUGAACUCGCUGUGAAGAUGCAGUGUACCCGCGGCAAGACGGAAAGACCCCGUGAACCUUUACUAUAGCUUGACACUGAACAUUGAGCCUUGAUGUGUAGGAUAGGUGGGAGGCUUGGAAGUGUGGACGCCAGUCUGCAUGGAGCCGACCUUGAAAUACCACCCUUUAAUGUUUGAUGUUCUAACGUUGACCCGUAAUCCGGGUUGCGGACAGUGUCUGGUGGGUAGUUUGACUGGGGCGGUCUCCUCCUAAAGAGUAACGGAGGAGCACGAAGGUUGGCUAAUCCUGGUCGGACAUCAGGAGGUUAGUGCAAUGGCAUAAGCCAGCUUGACUGCGAGCGUGACGGCGCGAGCAGGUGCGAAAGCAGGUCAUAGUGAUCCGGUGGUUCUGAAUGGAAGGGCCAUCGCUCAACGGAUAAAAGGUACUCCGGGGAUAACAGGCUGAUACCGCCCAAGAGUUCAUAUCGACGGCGGUGUUUGGCACCUCGAUGUCGGCUCAUCACAUCCUGGGGCUGAAGUAGGUCCCAAGGGUAUGGCUGUUCGCCAUUUAAAGUGGUACGCGAGCUGGGUUUAGAACGUCGUGAGACAGUUCGGUCCCUAUCUGCCGUGGGCGCUGGAGAACUGAGGGGGGCUGCUCCUAGUACGAGAGGACCGGAGUGGACGCAUCACUGGUGUUCGGGUUGUCAUGCCAAUGGCACUGCCCGGUAGCUAAAUGCGGAAGAGAUAAGUGCUGAAAGCAUCUAAGCACGAAACUUGCCCCGAGAUGAGUUCUCCCUGACUCCUUGAGAGUCCUGAAGGAACGUUGAAGACGACGACGUUGAUAGGCCGGGUGUGUAAGCGCAGCGAUGCGUUGAGCUAACCGGUACUAAUGAACCGUGAGGCUUAACCUUACAACGCCGAAGGUGUUU
rnacentral:rRNA from 1 species